ACCCUAAACUUUUUCCUCUUCUCUCGCUUUCAAUUUUUCUCUCUUCUAUUCAAAUUAGAACCCUAAAUCUCAUUUGUCCUCCAACAACAACAUCUCGUAUUGUAAACUGAGGCUUGCAUCGACAGUAUCUCUACAUCUCUGAGCAGAGUUGGUGGUGAUUGCAAAUUGAGAGUUGGCGAAGUCUAGGGUUGCAGCCAAGAACUAGGAGAUUCACCUCAUUUUCAUAUUUUACCUAAUACAAUUACUCAUUGAGUUGGUUUCACUACACUCCUUCCUUUAUACUCAUCAUUUAUGCAAUCUGUGUUAGUAUUUUAUAAUCAUUACUCAAACAAAAAAUAGAAUUACUCAUUGAGUUGGUUCAAUGUGAAAAUAAGGUAUGGCUGCAGAUGUGUUGACAAAAUCAUUGAAGUUGAAAGGUUUCUAGAAACUUCCUCUGCGACUUGGGUAGGUAAUUGAUGUAGACUAAUUGCACCAAAGUCAUCAGUUUAUGGCAUUGUAGGCGAGAGGUAAGAGUCGGCAAAGUUUAUUUUCAUUCAUAUAACAUUGAGCAUAUCGAUAUAUAGUGCUUCCGUUCUGCAGAAACUUUUCACUGUAAGUAAAACUCUAUCUCGAUAAAUCAAAACUCGUUAAAAAUCAAGAGAUCGGUUUAAUUUUAUUGAAAAUUUUGAUCUUCAUUGAACUUGCCUAAAUGUAUAAAGUUCUUUUGGUGGAUAUAGGAGAUAAUUUCUACUGGUUUAUUCAUUCUGCAAAAUAAAGCAGUGGUAAAGUUUUAAUUUAGGUUCUACGCUUAAAACAGUUUUGUAAUGGGGUUGCAACAAGAUAUAUGACAUGUUGAUUUGGAAAACAUGAUCAACAUCAAAGAGGUGUAGCAAAUGGAAUUUGCAUAACUGCUAUGCAGCAUGCAAAGUAAUUGGCCCUGCAGCAGGUAGUGCAAUAACAAAUGAGAAAGGAGGCUAACAUUAAAGAUAAAUAUGAAAUCUCAUGACAAGGGUCAAAGCUUCUAAAUGAGCUGCCCCCUCAGUGAGCUGCAUUUCAAUGUUAAUCUUAUCAUAACAAAGCUUCUAAAUGAGCUAUCCCCUCAGUGCUUGGUUCACUUGUUUAUUAAUCUAGCUGAAUGUCAUUGGCUUGGCAGGCUAUGAAGGUUGAUUCAACAAUAAUUCUCAUCAAUGAAGAUGGAAACUAGUGUCAAAACAAUUGGUGCUGUUGGAUUUUGGCAAGAGAACAAUGCUGCUGAACUGAAAAGGCCAUUGAAGCUCUUGAAAGUGUUGCAUAGUAAAUUUAGAAAAGUUCUCAUAAUUGACGCUGUUAUUCAUGUUUAUAGUAUUAUUAAUUAUUUUAUGUCUCAUGUUGGGUACAAAUUGUAAUACCGCCACACACAUAUUGUAAGAAUUUGGACCUAUUUUUCUGUAUUACUAAUAUAUGCAAUUUGAUUUCUA